rnacentral:rRNA from 13 species
ACCAGUACCGUGAGGGAAAGGUGAAAAGUACCCCGGAAGGGGAGUGAAAGAGAACUUGAAACCGUGUGCUUACAAGUAGUCAGAGCCCGUUAAUGGGUGAUGGCGUGCCUUUUGUAGAAUGAACCGGCGAGUUACGAUAUGAUGCGAGGUUAAGUUGAAGAGACGGAGCCGUAGGGAAACCGAGUCUGAAUAGGGCGCCUUAGUAUCAUGACGUAGACCCGAAACCAUGUGACCUACCCAUGAGCAGGUUGAAGGUGCGGUAAGACGCACUGGAGGACCGAACCA